AAAGGUGUGCUAAUACCGCAUAACCUCUCAGGAGAAAAGCAGGGGAUCGCAAGACCUUGCGCUUUAGGAGCGGCCGAUGCCUGAUUAGCUUGUUGGUAAGGUAAAAGCUUACCAAGGCUUCUAUCAGUAGCUGGUCUGAGAGGACGACCAGCCACACUGGGACUGAGAUACGGCCCAGACUCCUACGGGAGGCAGCAGUGGGGAAUUUUGGACAAUGGGGGAAACCCUGAUCCAGCCAUGCCGCGUGAGUGAAGAAGGCCUUCGGGUUGUAAAGCUCUUUCAGCCGGAACGAAACGGUUACGAUUAAUACUUGUAAUUAAUGGCGGUGCCGGCAGAAGAAGCACCGGCUAACUACGUGCCAGCAGCCGCGGUAAUACGUAGGGUGCGAGCGUUAAUCGGAAUUACUGGGCGUAAAGGGUGCGCAGGUGGUUUUGUAAGUCAGAUGUGAAAUCCCCGGGCUUAACCUGGGAACUGCGUUUGAAACUACAAGGCUAGAGUAUGGCAGAGGGGGGUGGAAUUCCGCGUGUAGCAGUGAAAUGCGUAGAUAUGUGGAGGAACACCGAUGGCGAAGGCAGCCCCCUGGGUCAAUACUGACGCUGAGGCACGAAAGCAUGGGGAGCAAACAGGAUUAGAUACCCUGGUAGUCCAUGCCCUAAACGAUGUCAACUAGUUGUCGGGCCUUUACGGGCUUGGUAACGUAGCUAACGCGUGAAGUUGACCGCCUGGGGAGUACGAUCGCAAGAUUAAAACUCAAAUGAAUUGACGGGGACCCGCACAAGCGGUGGAUUAUGUGGAUUAAUUCGAUGCAACGCGAAAAACCUUACCUACCCUUGACAUGUAUCGAAGCCCGCAGAAAAGCGGAGGUGCCCGAAAGGGAACGAUAACACAGGUGCUGCAUGGCUGUCGUCAGCUCGUGUCGUGAGAUGUUGGGUUAAGUCCCGCAACGAGCGCAACCCUUGUCAUUAAUUGCCAUCAUUUAGUUGGGCACUUUAAUGAGACUGCCGGUGACAAACCGGAGGAAGGUGGGGAUGACGUCAAGUCCUCAUGGCCCUUA
rnacentral:rRNA from 1 species